rnacentral:rRNA from 1 species
UACGUAGGGGGCAAGCGUUAUCCGGAUUUACUGGGUGUAAAGGGAGCGUAGGUGGCGUGCCAAGUCAGGAGUGAAAACCCAGGGCCCAACCCUGGGACUGCUUUUGAAACUGUGUUUCUUGAGUACUGGAGAGGCAGACGGAAUUCCUAGUGUAGCGGUGAAAUGCGUAGAUAUUAGGAGGAACACCAGUGGCGAAGGCGGUCUGCUGGACAGCAACUGACGGUGAGGCGCGAAAGCGUGGGGAGCAAACAGG